GUUUAUCUUCCUGAAGUGUGACCCAGAUGUUUAUGAAUAUAUAUGUACCUACAUACGUGUACCUGUACGAUACUAUUUUUUUUAUCCAAAUGACUAAAAGGUAAGAACACUUACGAAAAAUAUCUUAUCUUAAAAAAAAAACAAUAUUAUUCCACACACAUUAAUAUCACAUUAUCAAGUUUACAAAUUAAAAAAUUUAAAAAAAAAACUCAAAACAUUUCAUGUAUCACACCUAUGUCUGAUAACAGAUAAUAAUUUAUUAUUAAAUCCAUGUGAUUGUACUGAUUUUUAUGCUCAUUAUAAACUUUCUGUCCAGCUAUCUUAUUUUAAAUCAACUAAUGGGCAGUUAGUGCAAAUUAAAUAAAAGACAAAAUAAGUCAUAUUUAUUUUUGAUAUAGGAAAAACCAACUCCCCAAUCAAAAAAGGUUCUUUUUCAUUUUGUGAAAAUAAUGAAAAAUAGGAAACAAAGGCAAAUAUCAAAAUAAAGGUAUCUUGUAUAAAACCAACCCCACAUGUUUGUUAUCAAUGAUGGCGGAACAAUCAAACCAGGUGAGAAAAUAUUGAUAGAUGAAAAUUGAAGAAAAAAAAAGAACAAAUUAAAGCAUGUCACUGUCGUUGUCGUCGUCGUCGGCGUGGUCGUCCGCCGCAGUCGUCGACGUGUGCACUUGAUGUGUGUUUGAAGAGACACCAUCAGUUCCAGCACCAAAUAGAUAACCUAUGUAGGCAAGGUAUCUACGUCAUCUAAAAACCUACAGUUCUGUGCGUCGCGUCCGUGGCGGUUGGUGGCCGCUAUGUAGCUAAGAAAAUGGAAAACCGAGUCUAUAUAGGCGGCUGGCUUAACGCUUUCGCAUCAGGAACAGAGAGUACGAGAGAGAGUUAAUUUAACUUUGGCAAAAGUUUUUUGGCCGUAUCAGUAUGACCAGUUACUAAAUACCAUCAGUUCAGUCUAGAAGAUUUAAAUUUGAUGGCUUUAUGGUAGGUACAGAGUUAACCAGGCGGCUAAGCUUCUAUAUGGACAGGACAUAUGUAAAUAGAGCACACAUAUAGGAUGCCGAUGGCGACAAUGACAUAGGACACUCUAUGAUAGAAACGUUGACAAUCCGUCUAGCUUUUGAUGCAGGUAGAUGAACCUAAACAUACAAUUAUGGAGGAAGAGAUAUUUAACGAAGUCCAGUGAUAUGCGAUGGAUGCAGGAAUUUAAUUCUGUUAGACAGUUGGUCAAGAUAGAUAAGAAAUACGAUUUUUGUUUGGUUCAACAACCGAAGCCAUAAAACUGAAAUAGAGGUGCACGUGGCUUACAACUUUUUUAUUGAAUUGCCUCUACGACAAAUUUUAGAUGAGGAAAACCAAUGCAUAAAUUUAAUACCAAAGAUCCAGGGGUAAUGUGAAAGCUUAUUUAAAACGGUAACUCAUUUUGACAUCUGCUCAACUUAAAGGCUCAAAAGAAACAACUUAGGGACGCAAAGAUUUGUUCAAUGAUUUGAAAGGAGACAGAACGGAGUCAUCAAUGUCUUAAAAACAUAGGAAACGAUUUUGUAAAAUCUUUUUCUACAUUGAAUACUUUACGGGCUUAUAAUUUGGAGUUAAUUAUCCUUCAAUUAGUUGUUCAAUGUUCUAUACAGUUGGUUUGUUUUUGAUAAUUUAAAUUUUGUCGUAUUUCAAUGGUAGAUAUUUGAAUUUCGAAAUAUUAUGUACAAUGGUGAAAUUUACCAAACAA